GGCAUAAACGUUUUCUAAUUUCUUCCAAAUUUUAUGUGUUGUAUCUUCUUCUAAAACUUUCCUUACUACAUUGUCAUUAAGGUUUAGUAUUAGUGUUCCAUAGACAUUUAACUACAUUUCUUCCUUUUGUAUUGCUGUGAGGGUUGUUGGAAGUUUUGAAGGAUCUAAAAGGGCUUUAUGAGUCUUUUGUUGUUCGGGCAAGACUUUAACCUUUCCCUUCCAUAAGGCAAAGUCUCCAUUUCCAUCGAACUUCUAAAUUUCUACUCUUGCCACUGCCAUUAUUAAGAUUUGUUAUGCUUUAACUCUUCCAAGAUUCAGUUUCUUGAAAUCAAGAUUGGCUCUGAUACGAAUUAAUCUUGAUACGUUUAUGGGCCUUAUUUUCAAGUCCGCUUUAAGAUACUUGGAGGCAAUGGCGGAUCCAGAAAAUUUAUUGACGGGGGGCUUCGAGUUGUAACUUAGAGGAAAAAUAAAAAUCUGGAAAAAAAACUACAUAAGUAAGACUUGGACUCUGGUUGAAAGGGAGACUAACAAGCAUAGUUAAUAUAAACUGUCUACAAACAUUAAGUAUCAAAUGGUUUUGUUUAUACAUAUUAUAUGAAGACAAUAAAGUUAAGGGGGGCGAGCCUAUACUAAAUCCGCAUGUGCUUGGAGGAGAAGUCGCCACGUCAUUUGUAGCCUAGGAUAGCCGUACAUACGUGUCGAGAGAUAUGAAGAUGAAGGAGAGGAGAAGAUUGCAAUAAAUCUUUACGUGGCUUGGCCAAAUUUGAAGCCUACGUCUACGGGGAAGGAUCUCUUUUUUUGUUAUUGAAAAGGAGUACAAAAGUUCUACUUUCCUAUUCUCUUUAUGUGCUUUUUAGAUUGUUUAUGUGACUGUUAAAAACUAGUUUAUUUUUUGAACACAUCUUUCUAUUUAGUGUUUACAAAAACAUAAUAAUAGAGAAAUUAGGGAAUGUGAGUAA